rnacentral:tRNA from 5 species
GCCGUUGUAGCUCAGUCGGUAGAGCGACGCUCUCGUAAAGCGUAGGUCGUCGGUUCGAGUCCGACCAACGGCU